rnacentral:rRNA from 1 species
UACGUAGGGGGCAAGCGUUGUCCGGAUUUAUUGGGCGUAAAGAGCGUGUAGGCGGCUUUACAGGUCCGUUGUGAAAACUCGAGGCUCAACCUCGAGACGCCGGUGGAAACCGUAAAGCUAGAGUCCGGAAGAGGAGAGUCGGAAUCCUGGUGUAGCGGUGAAAUGCGCAGAUAUCAGGAGGAACACCCGUGGCGAAAGCGGCUCUCUGGGACGGUACUGACGCUGAGGAGCGAAAGCGUGGGGAGCGAACAGG